UACGGGGGGAGCAAGCGUUGUUCGGAUUUACUGGGCGUAAAGGGCGUGUAGGCGGCCUUGUAAGUCGGGGGUGAAAUCCACUGGCUCAACCAGUGACGUGCCUUCGAAACUGCUUGGCUUGAGUAUGGCAGAGGAGAGCGGAAUUCCAGGUGUAGCGGUGAAAUGCGUAGAUAUCUGGAGGAACACCGGUGGCGAAGGCGGCAUCCUGGACCGGUAUUGACGCUGAGGCGCGAAAGCCAGGGGAGCAAACGGG
rnacentral:rRNA from 1 species